ACACUCUUGUUUCUCUUCAGAUCGUAUNACUAAAGAUUUCCGUGGAGAGGAACAAUAAGAGUUUUACCCAAUUUUUUGAUGCCCUGCGCAAGUGGGGCU
rnacentral:snRNA from 1 species